AUUUCCUUCGGGACUGAUUAUUUUGUGACUGAGUGGCGGACGGGUGAGUAACGCGUGGGUAACCUGCCUUGUACAGGGGGAUAACAGUUGGAAACGGCUGCUAAUACCGCAUGAAGCAUAGGGGUCGCAUGAUUCUUAUGCCAAAGAUUUAUCGCUUCAAGAUGGCCUCGCGUCUGAUUAGCUAGUUGGCGGGGUAACGGCCCACCAAGGCGACGAUCGGUAGCCGACCUGAGAGGGUGAUCGGCCACAUUGGGACUGAGACACGGCCCAAACUCC
rnacentral:rRNA from 1 species